rnacentral:rRNA from 1 species
GGUUUGAUUAUGGCUCAGAUUGAACGCUGGCGGGAUGUUUUACACAUGCAAGCCGAAUCGGCAGCACGGACUUCGGUCUGGUGGCGAGUGGCGAACGGGUGAGUAAUGUAUCGGAACGUGCCUAGUAGCGGGGGAUAACUACGCGAAGGUAGCUAAUACCGCAUACGCCCUUCGGGGGAAAGCGGGGGGACCUUCGGGCCUCGCACUAUUAGAGCGGCCGAUAUCGGAUUAGCUAGUUGGUGGGUAACGGCUCACCAAGGCGACGAUCCGUAGCUGGUUUGAGAGGACGACCAGCCACACUGGGACUGGAGACACGGCCCAGACUCCUACGGGAGGCAGCAGCAGUGGGGAAUUUUGGACAAUGGGGAAAACCCUGAUCCAGCCAUCCCGCGUGUGCGAUGAAGGCCUUCGGGUUGUAAAGCACUUUUUGGCAGGAAGAAACGGCAUGGAUAAUACCCCCGUGCAACUGACGGUACCUGCAGAAUAAGCACCGGCUAACUACGUGCCAGCAGCCGCGGUAAUACGUAGGGUGCAAGCGUUAAUCGGAAUUACUGGGCGUAAAGCGUGCGCAGGCGGUUCGGAAAGAAAGAUGUGAAAUCCCAGAGCUUAACUUUGAAACUGCAUUUUUAACUACUGAGCUAGAGGUCAGAGGAGGUGGAAUUCCGCGUGUAGCAGUGAAAUGCGUAGAUAUGCGGAGGAACACCGAUGGCGAAGGCAGCCUCCUGGGAUAACACUGACGCUCAUGCACGAAAGGUGGGGAGCAAACAGGAUUAGAUACCCUGGUAGUCCACGCCCUAAACGAUGUCAACUAGCUGUUGGGGCCUUCGCCUUGGUAGCGCAGCUAACGCGUGAAGUUGACCGCCUGGGGAGUACGGUCGCAAGAUUAAAACUCAAAGGAAUUGACGGGGACCCGCACAAGCGGUGGAUGAUGUGGAUUAAUUCGAUGCAACGCGAAAAACCUUACCUACCCUUGACAUGUCUGGAAUCCCGAAGAGAUUUGGGAGUGCUCGCAAGAGAACCGGAACACAGGUGCUGCAUGUCUGUCGUCAGCUCGUGUCGUGAGAUGUUGGGUUAAGUCCCGCAACGAGCGCAACCCUUGUCAUUAGUUGCUACGAAAGGGCACUUCCAUCGAGACUGCUGGUGACAAACCGGAGGAAGGUGGAUGACGGGUCAAGUCCUCAUGGCCCUUAUGGGUAGGGCUUCACACGUCAUACAAUGGUCGGGACAGAGGGUCGCUAACCCGCGAGGGGGAGCCAAUCCCAGAAACCCGAUCGUAGUCCGGAUCGCAGUCUGCAACUCGACUCGCGUGAAGUCGGAAUCGCUAGUAAUCGCGGAUCAGCAUGUUUGCAGUGAAUACGUUCCCGGGUCUUGUACACACCGCCCGUCACACCAUGGGAGUGGGUUUUACCAGAAGUAGUUAGCCUAACCGUAAGGAGGGCGAUUACCACGGUAGGAUUCAUGACUGGGGUGAAGUCGUAACAAGGUAG